rnacentral:lncRNA from 1 species
CCUUGCUUCUUGAUCAAGCUGGUAAUUAAUAGGAAUAGAGAAAAAGCCCUGUAUUUCUGAGUGCUGAUCAGGCAGCAAAGGCACUCCAAACAUCUGAAGAAAAAACAGUUUGUUAAUUGCUGUCUAGACAGUUUAUUGCUGCAAUAAGAUCAAAACACAGAAUACUGAGGUUUGUGGUAUGAAUCAUGCAGACUAAACAAUUGUUUUAUUGCAUUUACAGAGCACUUGAUUUAUAAUGCAGUCAGCUCGGUAAUAAAAUUCCUCCAUUGUAUAUCCUGAAUAAUUUCACCUCGUUUCACAUCUCCCUGCUUUAAUUCUAUAUCGAGAUGUUUUAAAAAUGUCUGGAUGGAGAGGGGAUUACUGCCAUGUGUAUAUAAAGUUACUUAUCUCAGGUCUCUGUGGUAUCAUCACAGGCAUCCCCUGCUCAUCCAGCACUCCCUGGAUCAGCUGUGGGACUGGGGAUACACUGAGCAGAUUUAUUGGGCUGCAGUCCCGGUGAGGGCACUGCAGGGAAAGUGAGGCUGGCCCAUGGCAGGAGGUUUCAACCCUCUCCACCUUCAGCCAAAAGGGAUCAAUCAGGUUUGUGCUCCUGGACAGCAGCAGUCUUGGGUGAGGAAGCUGAUGAACUUUUGAAAAAGCCCCAGAGGUUCUUGAAAACCCAAACUCAGACUCCCAACCCAGUGAAGAAGAGAAAGACGCUCAGAGAGCGACUUCAGAGUGUGAAUCUGGGCAGGAGGGUAGCACAGACAACGUGUCCUCUGCUCCAAAGCUGUCCUUGGGACAAGAGAGCACAGGAAUUUAUGGUGGGGAAAGAGAGUGAGGGAAGGAUUCUGUCUGGGAAAAGGCACCAAAAUGUUGUAGAGACUGUGAGCAACAAAUGUAGGUGCUGGAAGGCGUUAAAGACAGCCCGGGGUGUGAGAGCCAGCGUGUGACAGUCCCUGCCCCUCUGGGAGGGCACCCUCUCCCCCAUCAGCCCAGCACAAACUGUUCCAACCUCCAAUCAGCCCUCGGUGCUUUCUUUUACGUGGCUUUAAACGCUGUGAGAAGCAUUUCUGUCGUUUAUUGCUGCUCAAUAAAGUUUUA